rnacentral:rRNA from 1 species
CGCAUAUUUGCUGGAAUGCUUUAUGCGUCAAAAGGAUUCGUCUGCCCAAGGAUGGGUCUGCGGCCUAUCAGGUAGUAGUGGGUGUAAUGUACCUACUAGCCAGCGACGGGUACGGGUUGUGAGAGCAAGAGCCCGGAGAUGGAUUCUGAGACAUGAAUCCAGGCCCUACGGGGCGCAGCAGGCGCGAAAACUUUACAAUGCGGGAAACCGUGAUAAGGGGACACCGAGUGCCAGCAUCAUAUGCUGGCUGUCCGGAUGUGUAAAAUACAUCCGUUAGCAAGGGCCGGGCAAGACCGGUGCCAGCCGCCGCGGUAACACCGGCGGCCCGAGUGGUGAUCGUGAUUAUUGGGUCUAAAGGGUCCGUAGCCGGUUUGGUCAGUCCUCCGGGAAAUCUGAUAGCUCAACUAUUAGGCUUUCGGGGGAUACUGCCAGACUUGGAACCGGGAGAGGUAAGAGGUACUACAGGGGUAGGAGUGAAAUCUUGUAAUCCCUGUGGGACCACCUGUGGCGAAGGCGUCUUACCAGAACGGGUUCGACGGUGAGGGACGAAAGCUGGGGGCACGAACCGGAUUAGAUACCCGGGUAGUCCCAGCCGUAAACGAUGCUCGCUAGGUGUCAGGCAUGGCGCGACCGUGUCUGGUGCCGCAGGGAAGCCGUGAAGCGAGCCACCUGGGAAGUACGGCCGCAAGGCUGAAACUUAAAGGAAUUGGCGGGGGAGCACAACAACGGGUGGAGCCUGCGGUUUAAUUGGACUCAACGCCGGACAACUCACCGGGGGCGACAGCAAUAUGUAGGCCAAGCUGAAGACUUUGCCUGAAUCGCUGAGAGGAGGUGCAUGGCCGUCGCCAGUUCGUACUGUGAAGCAUCCUGUUAAGUCAGGCAACGAGCGAGACCCGUGCCCACUGUUACCAGCAUGUCCUCCGGGACGAUGGGUACUCUG